rnacentral:rRNA from 1 species
CCUACGGGGGGCUUCAGUGGGGAAUAUUGCACAAUGGGCGCAAGCCUGAUGCAGCAACGCCGCGUGCGGGAUGACGGCCUUCGGGUUGUAAACCGCUUUCACCCAUGACGAAGCGUGAGUGACGGUAGUGGGAGAAGAAGCACCGGCCAACUACGUGCCAGCAGCCGCGGUGAUACGUAGGGUGCGAGCGUUGUCCGGAAUUAUUGGGCGUAAAGAGCUUGUAGGCGGUUGAUCGCGUCGAAAGUGAAAUCCCAGGGCUUAACUCUGGGCUUGCUUCCGAUACGGGUUGACUUGAGGAAGGUAGGGGAGAAUGGAAUUCCCGGUGGAGCGGUGGAAUGCGCAGAUAUCGGGAGGAACACCAGUGGCGAAGGCGGUUCUCUGGACCUUUCCUGACGCUGAGAAGCGAAAGCGUGGGGAGCAAACA